rnacentral:rRNA from 1 species
CCCUUAGAUGUUCUGGGCUGCACGCGCGCUACACUGAUGCAUGCAACGAGUUUUCGACCUUGCCUGAAAAGGUUGGGUAAUCUGUUUAACAUGUGUCGUGAUGGGGAUAGACCAUUGCAAUUAUUGAUCUUCAACGAGGAAUUCCUAGUAAGCGCGAGUCAUCAGCUCGUGCUGAUUAUGUCCCUGCCCUUUGUACACACCGCCCGUCGCUCCUACCGAUUGAGUGGUCCGGUGAGGCUUUGGGAUCUGAGCGGAAAGAGCGUUUCGCUGUUUCUGCCCGGAAAACUCAGUCGAACCUUAUCAUUUAGAGGAAGGAGAAGUCGUAACA